rnacentral:lncRNA from 1 species
ACAGCUCCUUUGUCAUGAAUAAGCGGUUUAACUUGACCAACAAAUGGGAAAACUCUAAACCCUAGACUCGAAGAUCUGCCACACAUCCGAACAAGAAAUUGAUCUCAUGCUUAGGGUUAACCGUCAGGAUAUAUGUAUAAGAAGCAUGAAAUGGAGGGCAAACAACGACAGACUCGCGAUCUUUCCUACGGAAUAAGGACAUUGGUAUUGAGGAUGGGAAGUGCCAAAUUCGGCGAAUGAGCAGCCAAGUAAGCGACUUUACAGAGAAGGACCUUACGUGAUCGAGGGUAGCGAUCGAGCUUUCCAUUCCGUUUCAGCUUCGUUUUCGCUUGACAAUGGCAGAGAGAGAGAGAGAGAUCAGCUCCUUUCGGCCCUUCCCUCUCUAAUUGCAGGAUCGUGCUAAGUGGGUCAAAAUCAAAUCAAAUCAAAUGGGGAACCCUAAAUCGAAGGGCACGAAACAGGGAAACGAAAGCUUACCUUCUCGGCCAGCUCGACGUGUUCCGCCGGCAAGUAAAUCCACCAAGCUCAACGUCGACGGCUGCUCUUCGGUAGAAGGAAGUGUCAAAGGAUCGGUGGCCGGAGAUCGAGAGACCGCCGGAACGGGGUUGUCGAUUACCGGUCUUGCAAGAACAGUGCGCGC